UAAAUUUGAAGAUUGUAAUUAUCUUGAGUUAAUAGAUUUUUAACACUUAUUGUUUAUUUUUUAGGAUUCCUGAUGUUGAAAUUACACAAAAGAUUGAACUUGUAUUAAUGACUCUCUAAAGUACAAAUGUGUAAACUGUAGAACAAAUAGAAUUAAGGGACGACAUCAAAAGAUCGAUGUAGGAUAAAAAACUUAAAUCAAAUAGUUUGGGGGUGGGGGGUCAUCAUUGCUGUAAGUUUUGUUAAUCUUAAAUCGAUUUUACAUAUAUCCCUAUUGGUCAAUCAAUUUUUCCCAAAUUAAGUUAAGAGGGGGGUGUGGGGGUCAGUGAAAAAACUAUGUGAAUUAAGUUUUUUAUCCUUCAUUGAACCUUUGACGUCGUCCCUAAUGUAUAUACAUUCUUUGUCAUGAUAAUUAAUCAGAUUUAUUUGGGAUUUUCAGGAAAGCAGAGAGUGUAAAGUAUCCUGAGACAUUACCACUGACUUUACCAAACCUGAUCAAGUUUGUUUUACAUCAUACAACACACGACUUGAGGAUGGACACAGCAGUCGAUGUUUGCACUAAAUCAUGCAUUGAGAAAAAUCUACGCAGAGUAUCAGAGGCUAUCGUCCUUAACAUAAAGAGAAGACAACUGUUACAAAACCAUAUCGAAAAACUUAAACUACAGUAUAAAACCAGACAGACUUCAGUUAGAUUUAAAUCAGGUGUCAAAGUGUUAAGUAUAAGACUAAAGAAAAUUGACAAGCAGUAUAAAAAUGCUUUUAUUUUGUUAAAAUUUCUUAAAAGCUCUCAAAAGAUCUUAGAUAAAGACAAAUUAAAAAAUGUAUUAGAAAGUAAAAAUAAUAUAAUAAUUGAAAAAGAUCUUGCGAGUUCUGAAGUCAGAUAUGAAGUGCAUGAUGAAUUAUGAUAUAUAGAUUAUAUUAAUUAAAUUCUAUCUAAAUGUGAUCAGACAUCAGAGAGGUUCAAUUUAGAUGGAAUGGUCACCUUCCUUUCAUGAUUAGAUUUGUAAAGUCUCAAUCAUUGACUACAUUUACGCCUGCCAGAAUCACUUGAUUUGUUGAUCAAUAUAGAGUGAAAGAUUUAGAAGGUUUGUGCAAUAAUGAAUCUGAUAUGAGUUUGGAAUGAUUUUAUUAAUUGUAAAUGAUCAGACGAUAUACCCACAUUAGUCAUAUAUGAUUUAAUAGAUUACCUUAAUAGAUGAUCGUGGAUAAGGGAUUUUCUGAGAUAAUUUGCUCUCUAAGGAGGAAUUCUUUUAAUUAAGUAUAAUCAGAAGUACCUUUAUUGUGGAUUAUUUUACAUAUCAUUUAGUAUUACAUGUAUAUUAAGAGUCUUCCAAGAUUAAUAACAAGUUUACUUUCUGGGAACUGUAAUUGAAAACCCCUCCUACGUUAAAAAGUGUAUAACUGUUUUCAGUUUUGGAAAUUGGCAAAUUACAUCAAAUUUCUUCAACUAAGUUUUUGUACACUGAGUAAAGAUUAUCAAUUGAUGUAACCCUUGUAAGUUAUUUUGUUCAUCCAUUUGCAUUUUGCACUAGUAAUUCCUUGAACCACUAACAGGAUUAUCUUGAAACUUUCAGUAAAUCUUCAUUGCCUUGUAGCCAUGUACACUCCAGUUUUCCCAUUGAAAAUCAAUGUUAUCCUGUUCUUGACCGCUGUAUCACUUUAUAGCCAAUUUGUUUGACCAUUAGCAUGAUAAAUCGUGCAUAAUAGUACUUGUUGAUAUUAUCAAUAACUUGUUUUAUGUAUAAAUGUGUGAAAUGAAAGGUAAAUAAGUUUUUUUAAAAGAUAAAACCAAAACUGGCAUUAGUUCAUUUUGUAAACCAUUCAUGUUUUCUCAUUGCAAUAUUUUUACUUGCAUAUGGACAAUCAAGCCUUACUGUGAUUGUCUGAAUGUUUGUGAAAGUGUGGGCGGGUUGCUUGUUUUCAUACAACACAUUUUGUGAGAGUAAUUCAUUUUUUGAAUAGUAUAUUAGUUGACAGAAAUUCAAAAAGAAAAUUCAAUUCAUGCCAAAUAUUUGUAAAUUUUAAAAAAGAACAUUUACAAUAUAUUUGUAUUCUACUCAUUAUUGUCAUCUGCCAAAAUGUAUGGUUUAUAAUUGUGUUUUAUGAAUAAUCCUUAGAAAGUUUAUGGUUUAUUUUCGUGUUUUAUGAGUUAUCAUUAAAAAUUUAAAAGACAUGUUUUUUAAUCAUGAUAUUUUAGUUCACCUUGUUCACUGGUGUCAACGUGAUAAUCGUAACUGCAAUUACGAUCAUCCCAAUAUGGCGGAC
rnacentral:lncRNA from 1 species